rnacentral:tRNA from 1 species
GGCUCGUUGGUCAAGCGGUUAAGACAUCAGCCUCUCACGCUGAAAACAUGGGUUCGAUUCCCGUACGAGUCACCA